UAUGUAGGGUGCAAGCGUUAAUCGGAAUUACUGGGCGUAAAGCGUGCGCAGGCGGUUCGCUAAGACAGAUGUGAAAUCCCCGGGCUUAACCUGGGAACUGCAUUUGUGACUGGCGGGCUAGAGUAUGGCAGAGGGGGGUAGAAUUCCACGUGUAGCAGUGAAAUGCGUAGAGAUGUGGAGGAAUACCGAUGGCGAAGGCAGCCCCCUGGGCCAAUACUGACGCUCAUGCACGAAAGCGUGGGGAGCAAACAGG
rnacentral:rRNA from 1 species